rnacentral:pre_miRNA from 1 species
AUCACUUGAGGAGCUUGUUAAAAUGCAAAUUCUGAUUCAGUAAGGUUGAGGUAGGGCCCAAGGUUCUGCAUUUCUAGCACAUUCUCAGGUGAUAAUAA